GGCGGGCCCCUGCGCAUUGUGGCAUGGUCAACCUGGUCAGGUCGGGAACGAAGCAGCCACAGCCAUUUCCUGCAAGUGCCGCAGACAAGGCUCGCCUCU
rfam:Herbaspirillum sp. YR522 PMI40_contig_81.81, whole genome shotgun sequence.